GAGCUCGGAGAGUAUUACCUGGUUCAAAAGGUCCAAACUUUUUGUACAAUUUUAAGCAUGAUAUUUUCUGAUGUAACUUAUCAACUUACAACAGACUUCUAGAUAAUGCAGGCGUGGAGCAAUUACAAGAUAAACAACCUUCUUCAGAUAGUGGAUUCUGCUCUGAAUAUGAACUUCCCAGAAGAAGAAGCUCUAAGGUUCAUGAAGGUCAGCCUUCUCUGUGUGCAAAAAACUGCAAAGCGCAGGCCAAAGAUGUCAACCGUGGUUGAAAUGUUGAACAAUGAAAUCGAAAUGGAAAGCUAUGAGAUUUCUGAACCUGGUUACCUCUCUGAUCUGAUGGGAAUUAGAUUGCACAGAAGGUACACAUCCGAAACAAGUUCCUCAAAGAGCUCAACCAGAACCAGCAUGUGAACUACUACUACUGCACAGAUUUUUUAGUCACCGAUUUUGUAAAAGCCAUGCAUAAUGUAUAAUAGAGAGAGGGACCAAAUUUGCUUAAUUUUCCUAAAAAAAGAAGCUAUAAAGAUAGUUGCAUUGAUUUUUUCAUAAUCAUUAUUUCCGGAUUGUAAACUGUGUCAUUUAGUCAAUAAAUUGUCCAAAGCCUUCAUUUUUUUAUAAAUAAACUCUGCUUGCCAAGAACAAAGAAUCUGCAGAAGCAAAAACUCUUGUGAAACAGAGGAACAUGGUUGGAGAUUUGAGAUGACAAAUGUUGAGUUUAUUCUUUUUACUGGCCCUACCUUAAACUGUUCUGAAACUGACCAAUCAGAACUAUUAAUGCAAGUGGCAUUUGCAUUACAUUAUCGCAAGAGGAAAAGACUAUUGAAAACAACAGAAGGAGACAUUACUGACUAACCAGGGUUGACCGGACUGGAUACAAAGUUUGGAACUUUGGUGCAAAAAAGUAAAUGGAACUGAUGGAGUUGAUGGUGGGUUGAGAUAAAAAAAAAAGCAUGCAUGGCUCCUCGUACGC
rnacentral:lncRNA from 1 species